UACGGAGGGGGCUAGCGUUGUUCGGAAUUACUGGGCGUAAAGCGCGCGUAGGCGGACCUGCAAGUCGGGGGUGAAAGCCCGAGGCUCAACCUCGGAACUGCCUUUGAUACUGGAGAGCUUGAGUCCGGAAGAGGUGAGUGGAACUCCGAGUGUAGAGGUGAAAUUCGUAGAUAUUCGGAAGAACACCAGUGGCGAAGGCGGCUCACUGGUCCGGUACUGACGCUGAGGUGCGAAAGCGUGGGGAGCAAACAGG
rnacentral:rRNA from 1 species